GACGAACGCUGGUGGCGUGCUUAACACAUGCAAGUCGAACGGAAAGGCCCUGCUUUUGUGGGGUGCUCGAGUGGCGAACGGGUGAGUAACACGUGAGUAACCUGCCCUUGACUUUGGGAUAACUUCAGGAAACUGGGGCUAAUACCGGAUAGGAGCUCCUGCUGCAUGGUGGGGGUUGGAAAGUUUCGGCGGUUGGGGAUGGACUCGCGGCUUAUCAGCUUGUUGGUGGGGUAGUGGCUUACCAAGGCUUUGACGGGUAGCCGGCCUGAGAGGGUGACCGGCCACAUUGGGACUGAGAUACGGCCCAGACUCCUACGGGAGGCAGCAGUGGGGAAUAUUGCUCAAUGGGCGGAAGCCUGAUGCAGCAACGCCGCGUGCGGGAUGACGGCCUUCGGGUUGUAAACCGCUUUCGCCUGUGACGAAGCGUGAGUGACGGUAAUGGGUAAAGAAGCACCGGCUAACUACGUG
rnacentral:rRNA from 1 species